AUGAGAUUUAAAACUUCGUAGUUCAUAACUUUUUAGUUUGAAAUUCACCUUAUUGCCAGAGUAUAGUACUUCAUAUCAUAUAGAGCGGUGGCAAUGGUACAUAUAUAUAGUACACGGCCAAAUAUAUAGCGGAAUAAUACAUGAACUCACGAGCGGCCACUUCCUUGAUAACAAUAUACGUAGAGCAGAUCGUACGUAUAUAUAAAAGUUAAACGAUCUCUCAUUCAUGCCCUUUGCAACAUCUAAAUAAUUGCAAACAACACAUCGUCGUGACCUUUUUAUCUAUAAGAUCAAGAUAUAUAUAUAUAUAUAUAUAUAUAUAUAUAUAUAUAUAUAUAUAUCUUAUUAAUUAUUCCAGGGGCGGCGAAACGGAAGGAUGGAUUGUUUAGGAACCGCGCGCGGCCGCCGAGGCUUAUGACGUAGAAGCCGCCCCGUAACCGCCGGCGGCGUCGUGCGCCGUGCUGAUGACGCUGGAGCUCUCCUCCUCGGCGAUGGUGUCCAGCUUGGCCGGGCGCGGCCGCUGGAACCUGCCGGCGGCGACCGGCUGCCACGGCGCCACCUCGUCGAAGAAGGCGCCUUCCUCGACCUGGAGCAGGAGGGACGCUCCUCGCUGGAUGCUCGCCAUCCUUGACUCCUACUCCGAUCUUAACCGUACAGCUACAGCUAUUGGUCGUCGUGGCGAUCAAACUCUACAACAAUACACAUGCUAGUUCCUAGCAGUAGCUUGUGGGUUUGCUGGCUGCUGCCAACAGUGGAGCAACCUGCCUGGCGUUUUAUAGAGC
rnacentral:lncRNA from 1 species